CCGCAAGACCGAAACUCAAAGGAAUUGACGGGAGCCCGCACAAGUGGUGGGGCAUGUGGUUUAAUUCGAUACAACGCGCAAAACCUUACCAGUCCUUGACAUAUAAGAGAGAUUCUCCAUAAAAGAAAAUUUAUACCUUAUACAGGUGCUGCAUGGCUGUCGGCAGCUCGUGCCGUGAGGUGUCAGGUUAAGUCCUCAAACGAGCGCAACCCCUUGCGAAUGUUAAUAUACUUUCGUGACUGCCAAUGAUAUAUUGGAGGAAGGGAGGGAUCACGUCAAGUCCGCAUGGCCCUUAUGGACUGGGCUACACACGUGCCACAAUGGCGAUGACAAAAGGCAGCAAUGAUGAAAAUCGGAGCAAAUCCUCAAACAUCGUCUCAGUACGGAUUGUUCUCUGCAACUCGAGAACAUGAAGCUGGAAUCACUAGUAAUCGUAGAUCAGCACGCUACGGUGAAUAUGUACCCGGGCUUUGUACACACCGCCCGUCACACCUCGGGAGUUGAAGAGCCCCCAAGAUCGGGGAGAGAAUCAUUUUUUUUUAAUUCCAUUAAUAACAAAUUAAUUUGAGUAAAAACGAAUCAUUUAAUCCUCUUCCAAGGGAAAAUCAAUGACUGAGGUG
rnacentral:rRNA from 1 species